rnacentral:rRNA from 1 species
GUAUUCCGCUCCAUAGCGUAUAUUAAAGUUGUUGCAGUUAAAAAGCUCGUAGUUGAAUUUCGGGGUCAGUAGGUUGGUCAUGCCACUGGUAUGUACUGGUCUCACUGAUUCCUCCUUCCUGAUGAGCCGUAAUGCCAUUAAUUUGGUGUUGCGAGGAAUCUGGACUGUUACUUUGAAAAAAUUAGAGUGUUUAAAGCAGGCUAACGCUUGAAUACAUUAGCAUGGAAUAAUGAAAUAGGACGUUCGAUCUUAUUUUGUUGGUUUCUAAGAUUGACGUAAUGAUUAAUAGGGAUAGUUGGGGGCAUUAGUAUUCAAUUGUCAGAGGUGAAAUUCUUGGAUUUAUUGAAGACUAACUACUGCGAAAGCAUUUGCCAAGGAUGUUUUCAUUAAUCAAGAACGAAAGUUAGGGGAUCGAAGACGAUCAGAUACCGUCGUAGUCUUAACCAUAAACUAUGCCGACUAGGGAUCGGAUGAUGUUAAUUUUUUAAUGACUCAUUCGGCNCCUUACGGGAAACA